rnacentral:rRNA from 1 species
GAUGAACGCUGGCGAGAUGCCUUACACAUGCAAGUCGUACGGGGAUUUUUAAUUCAAGUGGCGGACGGGUGAGUAACACGUGAGAAUUUGCCUUUAGGAGGGGGACAACAAUUGGAAACGAAUGCUAAUACCCCAUAUGCUUUCGAGUGAAAUGGAUUUUAUCCGCCUAGAGAGAAGCUCGCGGCUGAUUAGCUUGUUGGUAAGGUAAGAGCUUACCAAGGCGACGAUCAGUAUCUGGUUUGAGAGGACGAUCAGACACACUGGAACUGAGACACGGUCCAGACUCCUACGGGAGGCAGCAGUGGGGAAUUUUCCGCAAUGGGCGAAAGCCUGACGGAGCAAUACCGCGUGAGGGAAGAAUGCCUAUGGGUUGUAAACCUCUUUUUUCAGGGUAGGAAUAAAAUGACGUGUACCUGAAGAAUAAGCAUCGGCUAACUCCGUG